AGGGGUGUAGCUCAGUUGGCUAGAGCAGCGGUCUCCAAAACCGCAGGUCGUGAGUUCGAGCCCCACCGCCCCUGCCA
rnacentral:tRNA from 1 species